AAGGAUCAUUACCGAAUUGUCAACACGAGUUGUUGCUGGUCCUCAAACGGGGGCAUGUGCACGCUCUGUUUACACAUCCACUCACACCUGUGCACCUUCUGUAGUUCUGUGGCAUGGGGGACUCCGUCCUCCCGUCGUGGUCCUACAUCUUUACACACACUCUGUAACAAAGUCUCAUGGAAUGCAUGACGCGUUUAACGCAAUACAAUACAACUUUCAGCAACGGAUCUCUUGGCUCUC
rnacentral:misc_RNA from 1 species